UUGUUGAAUUUGAUUAAAAUCAUGAUUACGAAUUUUGUGUUUGCGUGUUUCAGUUGGGGGAAAUUGUGGUAUUUUGGGCGAUCGAAGGUGAACUUGAUGCAGUAGGGUGUAGAUAAAUUUUUGAAUUGAUGAUUUUGUGGGUCUGUGGAUUUUCUAGGUUUUGGCUCCCAAAGUUGAAUUUUGGGAUUUUUUUCUUGAGCUGGGCUGUUUAUAUGUUUAAGUAGGGUUUUUUUUGGGGGAGCAACUGAAAUUCGUGAUGGAUAGCAACAAAGAUGAGGCGUUGAGAUGUAUAAACAUUGCGAAAGAGGCAAUUGCAGCAGGUAAUAAGCAAAGAGCCGUGAAAUU
rnacentral:lncRNA from 1 species